rnacentral:tRNA from 1 species
GCCUGUUUGGCUCAGUGGGUAGAGCGUCAGCCUGCGGACUGAAAGGUCCCAGGUUCGAUUCCGGUCAAGGGCA